rnacentral:rRNA from 1 species
UGCCCUAGUAACGGCGAGUGAAGCGGCAACAGCUCAAAUUUGAAAUCUGGCCUUCUUUGGGGGUCCGAGUUGUAAUUUGCAGAGGGCGCUUUGGCGUCGGCAGCGGUCUAAGUUCCUUGGAACAGGACGUCACAGAGGGUGAGAAUCCCGUACGUGGUCGCCUGCCUUCGCCGUGUAAAGCCCCUUCGACGAGUCGAGUUGUUUGGGAAUGCAGCUCUAAAUGGGAGGUAAAUUUCUUCUAAAGCUAAAUACUGGCCAGAGACCGAUAGCGCACAAGUAGAGUGAUCGAAAGAUGAAAAGCACUUUGGAAAGAGAGUCAAACAGCACGUGAAAUUGUUGAAAGGGAAGCGCUUGCCGCCAGACUUGCCCGUGAAGGUUCUCCUCCUCGGGCAGGCCAGCAUCAGUUUGAGCGAUCGGAUAAUGGCCUCUGUCAUGUAUCUUCCUUCGGGAUGACCUUAUAGGGGAGUCGUAGUACGGUCAGCUCGGACUGAGGUCCGCGCAUUUGCUAGGAUGCUGGCGUAAUGGCUGCAAGCGGCCCGUCUUGAAACACGGACCAAGGAGUCUAACAUCUAUGCGAGUGUUUGGGUGUCAAGCCCGAGCGCGCAAUGAAAGUGAACGGAGGUGGGAACCCUCUCUGGGGGUGCACCAUCGACCGAUCCUGAAGUCUUCGGAUGGAUUUGAGUAAGAGCAUGGCUGUUGGGACCCGAAAGAUGGUGAACUAUGCUUGAAUAGGGUGAAGCCAGAGGAAACUCUGGUGGAGGCUCGCAGCGGUUCUGACGUGCAAAUCGAUCGUCAAAUUGGGCAUAGGGGCGAAAGACUAAUCGAC